CAUCUCCAAAAAAGCAAUUGUACUCUGAUUAUGAAACAGUUAAUUUUUUAUUGAAAUGGACUGCAAGUAUGAGUGAAAUUGUGUAAAGUAACUCCAUCACACUGGAUAAGGCUUCAAUAAAUUAUUAUGAAAGCUUACAUUAUUACUACGCUCAUUAUGUACUCUGCUUCUUAUGUUGUCCACCGUUUACUUUUUUUCUGCUUUUAUUAAUGUAAAGCUGCUUUGAAACAAUGAAACAAUUGUGAAAAGCGCUUUAUAAAAAUAAAUAAAAAUUGAAUUGAAUAAAUAGAUGAGCUAUUAGUAAUAAUCAAUUUAAUUUAUAAAGCGCCUUUCAAAGGACCCAAGGUCACUUGCUCAUUGCACUGCAAAAAAUGACUUUCUUCGUGUGUUUGUCUUGCUUUCAGUUAAAAUAUCAAAAAAUUCUUAAAUUAAGAUGUAUUAAAAGUUUUCUUGAAAUAUACUUUUUCAUAAACACUUAAUUUAAAACAAAUUUUCAUAUUCCAUUGGCUGAUUUUUUUCCUUAUUUUCCCAGGUCAUGUUGCUCAUCAAGAAAAUGCAUCUUAAUUUAAGAUUGUUUUGAUAUUUUUACUGAAAACAAGACAAAAAUACAAAGUAAGUCAUUUUUUGCAGUGUGACUCCAUUGAAUGUUCUUGUGGGAUAAAGAAAGUCUCUCUUUUUGUGUGUGGUGUGUGUGUGUAAUGUAGAUUAAAUAUGACCGGGCCAAAACGGACAUGGCAGCAGGUCAAAAUCAAAUACAAGCACAUUCUGCAGAAUGGUAAGGGCCCUGACUAAUACUUAAUAAUGCACAAGCAUAGAUUGUACCCAGAAGGUGCCUGCUUACACAUUGUCUGCACUGUUUUAGCAGUGAAAAAGAAUACCCAGAGACAAGGCACGUGUGGUGGGUAACCAAAAGCUGACCUCACCCCAGCAGAGGCCAGCUUUGGAGCUAAAUAAAGGCAGGCCUGAUGGAGGGGAUCCCUGGGGGAAAGAGACAAGCAUAGGUCCCUCCCAAGAUGCCACCCGCUUCAUACAAGUGUCUGGCAGCACUGUGUUACUAUUAAAGCCACCAGCACGAGCAGCAGACGAUGCUGAUCCAGCGAGUACUCCAUCAAAGGCAUACUGUAGGCCUGGCAGGUCUUGUCUACUAGCUUCAAUAUGAAUCCGAUUAAAUGUGAUAGGGUCAAGGCCCCAUUUCAUCAGCACAUAACGGCAAUGAUGAUGAGGAGACCAUCUCUCUGGAUUCCAGAAGGCAUAAGGACCCAGUGUCAUUGGUGCACUGGACUGCACACACAUAAGGAUAAAAGCCCCCUCAGGUGCCCAUGAGGCAGAUUUUGUAAAUAUGAAAUCUUUUUACAGCAUUAAUGUUCAGGUGAACAUAACUUUUUGAUCUUUUCCAUUGAACACUGGCAAAAUGGCCUGGCUCAGUCCAUGACUGCAGAAUCUUUCGGACCUCUGAAAUCUAUCAGUGCCUAUCACAAGGUGAAUUCUCUGGUGUAUUGCUGGGAGACAGGGGGUGUGGCUGCCAGCCUUUUUUCCUGACACCUUUCACAGACCCCCAGGUAGCACAACAGGCCUACAACUAUGCCCAUGCCAGGGCCAGUGUUGAAAUUACCUUUGACCUCCUGAAGGCACACUCUCACUGCUUUCACAAAUUAAGGGUCAGCCAUGUGAGGGCAUGUGACAAUACUGUGGCUCGUGGUGUCCUCCACAAUGUGGCCUGCCUGAGGAAGGAGAGGGCCAUGGACUGGGACAAUCCGGAAAUCUUCCCUGAUGACAACAGUGGUCGGCUGCUGAGGGACCAAUAUGUGUUGAAUUAUUUUAGUUAGUAUGCGUGCUUUCAAUUAUUAUUAUUUUUUUUAUUUGGCCUCUUUUGAUGUUUAUGCUGUAUACUGUGUGUAUACUGUUUGUAAUACAAGCUUGCAGGGAGGCUACUGCAUCCAUUAAUUUGUCUGUUCAGUUAGUGUGUGUAUGGAUUUGUCCUGCAUUUAUUUCAGUGUGCAGACAUGCAGGGUGUGUUAUAUACAGACCUUUGAAUGUGUAUUUAUCCUUUGGUUGUAUAAUAUGCUUUGAUUCUGUGCUUUCCAUCUUGUAGAGUCACUGUGUGACUUCAGUUUCGAAAGGAGCUGAUGGUUUACCUGCUUUGUUUUGUCCUUAUUCAAUAAAGGAACAUAAUGUUA